CCUACGGGAGACAGCAGUGGGGAAUAUUGCGCAAUGGGCGAAAGCCUGACGCAGCGACGCCGCGUGAGGGAUGAAGGUCUUCGGAUCGUAAACCUCUGUCAGCAGGGAAGAACGGUCACUGUGCUAAUCAGCAGUGAAUUGACGGUACCUGCAAAGGAAGCACCGGCUAACUCCGUGCCAGCAGCCGCGGUAAUACGGAGGGUGCGAGCGUUAAUCGGAAGUACUGGGCGUAAAGCGCUCGUAGGCGGUAUGUCAAGUCAAGGGUGAAAUCCCCGGGCUCAACGUGGGAACUGCCUUUGAAACUGGCAAACUGGAGUGUGUGAGAGGCUAGUGGAAUUCCAGGUGUAGGGGUGAAAUCCGUAGAUAUCUGGAGGAACAUCAGUGGCGAAGGCGACUAUCUGGCACAUAACUGACGCUGAGGAGCGAAAGCGUGGGUAGCAAACAGGAUUAGAUACCCCAGUAGUC
rnacentral:rRNA from 1 species